rnacentral:rRNA from 1 species
CCUACGGGAGGCAGCAGUAGGGAAUAUUGCUCAAUGGGGGAAACCCUGAAGCAGCAACGCCGCGUGGAGGAUGAAGGUUUUCGGAUUUUAAACUCCUUUUGUUAGAGAAGAUAAUGACGGUAUCUAACGAAUAAGCACCGGCUAACUCCGUGCCAGCAGCCGCGGUAAUACGGAGGGUGCAAGCGUUACUCGGAAUCACUGGGCGUAAAGAGCGCGUAGGCGGGAUAGCAAGUCAGAUGUGAAAUCCUAUGGCUUAACCAUAGAACUGCAUUUGAAACUGUUAUUCUAGAGUAUGGGAGAGGUAGGUGGAAUUCUUGGUGUAGGGGUAAAAUCCGUAGAGAUCAAGAGGAACACUCAUUGCGAAGGCGACCUGCUAGAACAUACCUGACGCUGAUGCGCGAAAGCGUGGGGAGCAAACAGGAUUAGAUACCCUAGUAGUC